UCCAGUUAUAAUCGCAAGAAA
rnacentral:piRNA from 1 species